rnacentral:rRNA from 1 species
UGCCAGACUCCUACGGGAGGCAGCAGUGAGGAAUAUUGGUCAAUGGUCGGGAGACUGAACCAGCCAAGCCGCGUGAGGGAGGAAGGUACAGAGUAUCGUAAACCUCUUUUGUCAGGGAACAAAGGCGGGGACGUGUCCCCGGAUGAGUGUACCUGAAGAAAAAGCAUCGGCUAACUCCGUGCCAGCAGCCGCGGUAAUACGGAGGAUGCGAGCGUUAUCCGGAUUUAUUGGGUUUAAAGGGUGCGCAGGCGGGAGAUCAAGUCAGCGGUAAAAUGUCGGGGCUCAACCCCGGCCGGCCGUUGAAACUGGUUUUCUAGAGUUGGAGAGAAGUAUGCGGAAUGCGUGGUGUAGCGGUGAAAUGCAUAGAUAUCACGCAGAACUCCGAUUGCGAAGGCAGCAUACCGGCGCUCAACUGACGCUCAUGCACGAAAGUGUGGGUAUCGAACAGGAUUAGAUACCCUCGUAU